rnacentral:rRNA from 1 species
AACGAACGCUGGCGGCAGGCCUAACACAUGCAAGUCGAACGCCCCGCAAGGGGAGUGGCAGACGGGUGAGUAACGCGUGGGAACCUUCCCAGUGGUACGGAAUAACUGACCGAAAGGUUGGCUAAUACCGUAUACGCCCGAAAGGGGAAAGAUUUAUCGCCAUUGGAUGGGCCCGCGUCGGAUUAGCUAGUUGGUGAGGUAAUGGCUCACCAAGGCGACGAUCCGUAGCUGGUCUGAGAGGAGGAUCAGCCACACUGGGACUGAGACACGGCCCAGACGCCGACGGGAGGCAGCAGUGGGGAAUAUUGGACAAUGGGCGCAAGCCUGAUCCAGCCAUGCCGCGUGAGUGAUGAAGGUCUUCGGAUUGUAAAACUCUUUCGCCGGGGAAGAUAAUGACGGUACCCGGAGAAGAAGCUCCGGCUAACUUCGUGCCAGCCGCCGCCGUAA